CCGUUAUCUCACAGGUGCGGGUAUCUGGUGGCCCGCAUAAGAUUCUACCAGUUUAAGCGAAAUGAUCUGUCAGAACAGAAACCUCCGCGUUCCGCAGAGUUCAUUUGGAAUUGCAAACCGAAAGCAAAGUGGUAAAGUGAAA